GAUGAACGCUAGCUACAGGCUUAACACAUGCAAGUCGAGGGGCAGCAUGGUCUUAGCUUGCUAAGGCCGAUGGCGACCGGCGCACGGGUGAGUAACACGUAUCCAACCUGCCGUCUACUCUUGGACAGCCUUCUGAAAGGAAGAUUAAUACAAGAUGGCAUCAUGAGUCCGCAUGUUCACAUGAUUAGAGGUAUUCCGGUAGACGAUGGGGAUGCGUUCCAUUAGAUAGUAGGCGGGGUAACGGCCCACCUAGUCUUCGAUGGAUAGGGGUUCUGAGAGGAAGGUACCCCACAUUGGAGCCGAGACACGGACUAAACUGCUACGGGAGGCAGCAGAAAGUUAUACUAGGCAAUGGGGGCAGGCCUGACACAGCCAAGUAGGGUGAAGGAUGACUGGCCUAGGAGUUGUAAACUUCUAUUAUAAAGGAAAAAAGUCGGGUACGUAUCCCCGCUUGAAGGUACUUUAUGAAUAAGGAACGGCUAACUACGUG
rnacentral:rRNA from 1 species